rnacentral:rRNA from 1 species
CAGCCGCCGCGGUAAUACGUAGGGUGCGAGCGUUAAUCGGAACUACUGGGCGUAAAGCGUGCGCAGGCGGUUGUGUAAGACAGGUGUGAAAUCCCCGGGCUUAACCUGGGAACUGCGCUUGUGACUGCACAGCUAGAGUAUGGCAGAGGGGGGUGGAAUUCCACGUGUAGCAGUGAAAUGCGUAGAGAUGUGGAGGAACACCGAUGGCGAAGGCAGCCCCCUGGGCCAAUACUGACGCUCAUGCACGAAAGCGUGGGGAGCAAACAGGAUUAGAUACCCCGGUAGUCCCUGUCUCUUAUAC